rnacentral:rRNA from 1 species
GCAGUAGUUAGUCUUCANUAAAUCCAAGAAUUUCACCUCUGACAAUUGAAUACUAAUGCCCCCAACUAUCCCUAUUAAUCAUCACGUCAAUCCUAGAAACCAACAAAAUAGGAUCAACGUCCUAUUUCAUUAUUCCAUGCUAAUGUAUUCAAGCGCGAGCCUGCUUUAAACACUCUAAUUUUUUCAAAGUAACAGUCCUGAUUCCCCACCACACCAAAUUAAUGACAUGAUGGUUCGUCAGAAGGUAGGAACCAGUAACACCAGUACGUACCUAAGGCACGACCGACGUACUAAUCCCGAAAUUCAACUACGAGCUUUUUAACUGCAACAACUUUAAUAUACGCUAUUGGAGCUGGAAUUACCGCGGCUGCUGGCACCAGACUUGCCCUCCAAA